AUUUGAGCACUCCGCUAGCAGUUAAGGAUUUUCCCAGAGUUUUGUGGAUGCUUGGAUGUCAGGAUGUCACUUUUUUUUUUUUUUCAGAAGGCACUCAGAAAACCUGAAAUUGAAAUUGGCUUGUAUUGAUGGCUAGAUAGAGCUGAGAAGCAGACAACUGGAAUUUCUCUCUCAGAAAGCAAGUAUUCAGUUAAGUCAGUAAAUCCCCCUAUGACACUUUAAUCCUAAGCCAGAGUGUGAAGUCUCAUGCAAUGAAACAAAUGUCCACACCAUUAAGGAGGACUCUCAGAAGCCUCUUUUAGCUGCUGGAAACAAAGCCAUGCUAACAUGCUGUUCGUUCCCUAAAUGUUUCCCAGUUGUAAGCUGUAAUGGGCAAAUACAUUACCUUUCAGCACAGCUGUGAUUAAAAACGGCAGGAUUGCUAAGCUGGCUGCGUGUGGAACUCCCCGAGAACGCGCAGCGGUGCGAUGUGAUGUCUUUCCUCUCUUCUUAACUUCUGCCACAGCUGAAAUGCAAAGCUUGGGGCAGCGAAGGGCGAUGCGCUACUCAGAGCACUAAACACCCGAGUGUGUUUCAUUACAGGAGCCUUUUUUUCCCAUUCCACCCUUGGACUCCCGCUGCUACAAAUAAUUGUUCCAGUGGGUGCUUUGGUCAAAGCAAGUGCUCAAAAAUGUCUCUGUAGGGUCAAGCUUAGGAAAAUCAGUCGUUCUUUAUCUGGGCUCUGUAUUCGCAAGUAGCAGCGUGGUGGGUAGAGUUUGUUCUCAGUGUAUUCAGCCUGCAAGACCACUGCAUAAAAGGGUAAAACAUGAUGGAAGGAGCUGUUUGCUUGAUCAGAUGCCAUCUGCUUAUCAUCAGGCUCAUCUGGAGCCCUGUUUCCUCUGUAGGUCGGUUCCAGGUGUGUGUGUUCGGUCUGCAGACACGGCUGCCCUCUGAUGCUGAGCUAUUCCCUCAUCUCUUGCCUUGUGCUCUCCGCUCUGCCUGUACUUGCCCGUUGCCUGUCACCUUACUUUUGUACUGUAAAUUUUGGAGGUCAGAGAGAGGUUGGGGUUUUUUUAGUAUUAUUUUUUGUUGCUCCACAUUCACUUUGUUACCGAGCCUGAUGGGUUCUCACCUGGGGUAAGAGAGAGCCUUAAGCCAUCCCCAGCCUAUAAAUUAUAAACAGAAUUGUCUUUAACUUGCAGAUUUUGAGCAAAUCUUUCUCAGAGUAGCACUGGAGGUGGUGACGAGGGCUGAGGUUGGUUGUCUGACAAGUGUGAAGUUCUCACGGCUGUCUGGCGAGGCUGCCGGCUGCCUGCUUCCUGCAAAGUCCUCCUUGUACAGCUGGCUCCGACUCUGGGCCUUUAACAGCGACGAGUCGCGGUGCAGCUUGGCUUUAUCCAGCACACGCUCCCGCUGCGCUUCGCCCUUGCUGUCCAGUCCUCCCG